UAUUUCAGGAUAUUACAACGUAACAGCUGGCCAGCCAACACGAAUGCAAGCCCACCUUUGUGCGCUAAACCUAUAUUUUCCUUAUGAUCCAAGGCUUAUAUACAUCCCUCCUAACUGUGGCCCUCCAGUGCCAGAGAAUGGAUACGGGUACCUUUUGCAAUAAAUGGGCAGCGUUGAUGAUGAAAGAGGAUCGGACUACUUUUUAAAGUACAACACAUACUUAACAAUUUGCAUUUGAUGUUCGUGACUUUUCAGCGGAUGAUUAAGCAAAUAUUGUUUACUUUCUAUAUUUAUGAAAAUUCACGAAAUUACGUGCAUUCACAAAAAAUCUGUAUCAAUUAUGUAAAUGAUUAAACAAACACUUAGAAAAAUAUGUAUCAGUCUGGUUGUAGACAUGUACGAAAACUAGGUGAUAUAUAUUGCAAAUCGAGUGAUAUACAUUUAACAAUACAAAUUGGAAAACAAAAAUUGCAAAGUACAACACAUACUUAACAAUUUGCAUUUGAUGUUCGUGACUUUUCAGCAGAUGAUUAAGCAAAUAUUGUUUACUUUCUAUAUUUAUGAAAAUUCACGAAAUUACGUGCAUUCACAAAAAAUCUGUAUCAAUUAUGUAAAUGAUUAAACAAACACUUAGAAAAAUAUGUAUCAGUCUGGUUGUAGACAUGUACGAAAACUAGGUGAUAUAUAUUGCAAAUCGAGUGAUAUACAUUUAACAACACAAAUUGGAAAACAAAAAUUGCAAAAUACACCUAAGUUUCUUUAUAUAUAUAUAACAGUUUUAAAACGAAAGCUCUUAUAAUGUGUUCAUUAUCAGCUGGAUUCUGAUUUUCAUGUUUGGCUUAUUUUUUGGUAAGCUAUUGAUUACACCUACAUCUCACUUCCUGUCAAUAUGAUGAUAAGGCAAACAGAAUGAACAAAGGUUACUGCCGUUUUUUCGAAUGUAACUGCUAUUCAAGGGUUUCAAAGAAAUGGGUUCUGCAAAAUAAAUCAAUCUGUUUGAAUUAAUAGCUACUGAAAAUGCAUCAGAGUGUCAAACAGUAUAUUUGGGUUUAAUGACGCCAUGAUAACCUAUUCAUAUACAAAAUAGUGCAUUUCAAUAUAAACCGCACACCACCGCCAUCUCUAAGGGACAACACCGUCGUAGUGAGAAGAAUUAUAUGAAAUUUGUCUAAGAACCAGUAAGUUGAACAAACAAGUUUCCGGACAAGUAAAUAAUCCACUUCAUUUUGGUUUUGUUCAUUCAGUCAUUUGAUUAUUUCGAACAGAACAGAACAGAACAUACACAAUUAUUUAUUAAUUCGAAAUUUGUAACAGGUGUUCGAGUAUGCAUAAUUUAUUCAUUUCAACAUGACAUGAAUGCCAAAAGCAUGAAUGUACAAAAUGCAUGUAAUAACAAUAUGUACAGUAUUAUCAUAGUUGUAGUUUUGCAUACCAGAAAAAUCAUGUGAUUAAAUUACAAUAUAUAAUGUAAAUAAACGGUAAUAGUACAAGUAACAGGAAGAUGAAGUGGAUGGAGAAUGUUUCUGUAAUUAUCCCGAAACUAAUGAUAAUCUUUGAAACAACCUAUACUUUGACCGAAUUCUAAUUUCGAGAAAAAGCUAUACUUCUUAAAGUUGUAUAGAAUUAAACUUAAAGUUUUGACUUUGAGUUUCUGUAUCAAAAUUUGUUCUUCAGUGACAUGAGUGCCAGAGAUAUCGUGUGAUUCAAGGCUAUACAUGUUUUGUAUUGUUCAUAGGAUUAUUCGUACAUAUUCGUAAUUCUAAGAGGUGAGUUUAUUGUUUCCUGGGCAUUAUGAAAAGGGAAUACACAAUAAAACACCUACUAGAUUAAGGAUAGGAAUAGUAAAUUCGGUGAGGGAGAAAAAGGAUUGGCACUAGUGUCUAGUAAAUUGUUUAUAAGACAAGCAUGUGUAAAAUUGAUUACUCAUGCUAGAGGCAAAGCAGCUAAUUACUUAAACAAUAAAAAGUAGAGCAAAUUGACAAGGAGGGACAAAACCGACCUAAUAGAAUUUAAGAGUGACAUAAAUACAGUACCUGAUUAAUUAUAUAUACAUACAUAAUACUAUUUUAUGUAAACAGACACUUCAUACUUUUAAUAUCUUAGUUCAACAUGUGUCAAUAAGAUUAUUAGAAAUUUACAAAGUUUUGGUUAUUGGUAUGUAUAAUUUGUUGUUAAAAAUAACUUUAUAUUUAAGAACAUUUGGCCUAGUUUAAAUAUUGUACAUGUUCAAGUACCUUUUAUGUCUUCUUAGAAAUGUGUGUACUUUGAAAAAUAGUGAAAUUCACCCGCUACAUCCAUAUUAUUACAUAACGAGCUAGUUCUCUGAGUAAAGCGAAUAUUAUCCCAUCUACCGGUUUACUGAAUAUAUUUCCAUGUCAUGUUGAAUUGAAUAAAUUAUAUGUAUCUCUUAUACGCAUAACGGUUUUACAAGUUUCGAGUUAAUAAAGGUAUGUUCUGUUCUGUUCUGUUCUGUUCUGACUAUUAAAGUGAUUAUAAAUUAUGCAUAUUCAUACGAGAGCAAAAUGCUGCUCGUACCUAACUAAUAAUUUAAGAUCGCAUGAUAUCCCAUGUGCGAAUGUUACGCACUGUUUGUGAUAUACAAAUGAUCGUAAUGAGAGUCUCAUACCAAGUACACUGUUAACUCUAAUAGCUUCGUGCAAUAUCUCUGUAUAGGCUGCAAUAUUGGUGAAAAAAUGUUGAAACUGUAGAACAAAUUAUCCUGAGAAAAUAAACGUACUGUGUAUCAGUUGUAA